UACGUAGGGGGCGAGCGUUACCCGGAUUUACUGGGCGUAAAGCGCGUGUAGGCGGCUGGUCAAGCGUGGUGUGAAAUCUCCGGGCUCAACCCGGAAACUGCAUUGCGAACUGACCUGGCUGGAGUGCAGGAGAGGGCAGCGGAAUUCCCGGUGUAGCGGUGAAAUGCGUAGAUAUCGGGAAGAACACCCGUGGCUAAGGCGGCGACCUGGUCCUUGACUGACGCUGAGGCGCGAAAGCGUGGGGAGCAAACAGG
rnacentral:rRNA from 1 species